rnacentral:lncRNA from 1 species
ACUAUAACCUUCGUGAGACAAGCUUCUUACCACUUUUGAUUUGGAAGUCUCCCUAUUUGCAGUUUUUUACUAACUUAAUAUUUAUAUUAAGAAAAGCACCCUGAAUUUUCUUUUGACAGUUUUUGAUGUCAGAAGCAGGAUCAGAAGAAGACCCCUGUGAAGCCCCAAGGCCAGUAACUAGGUGCUGGUACCCAGGGCCGCAGCACUGGCUGCUCUCUCACCCAGCCAUGGAGUUCUAGAACAGUGAUUUUUUACUCUGAUAUUUUCCUGAAAGCUUUUGCAAGCAUCUGUGAUACAAAAUUGCUGGAAGAUUUACAGAAAAGACUCUGACAAGUGCAGGUUUCUGGUAACUUUAAGAUCACAGCAUUGGACUGGGUAAGAAUUUCCAGCACUCUAAUGGAAAACCAAUGGAUUCAUGAGGCUGCUAACCCAAAAUCAAGCAGAACAAGAAUUACAGGGGACUGAAUGAACUGAUGAGGGUGAUUAUAAUUUUUAUGUCUUUGAAAUAUUGCGGGUUCUUUAAUGUUUGUUUUCUAGAGUUAAAGAAUGCCUUUUCUCUUUUCCCUUAAGACCUACAACUUACAGCAAUUUGGUGAAGAAUACUUUUGUAAACAAAAAUGAAACACAUUUUCUUUUCUCCCUACCCCAACCCCUCCAAAAUUCAGAAACUUAUUGAGUAUUCUUUAUUUUCAUGGCAAUAUAAAUAUUUACAUAAGUUCAAUGAAAGUUUGUUUCCCCUGUAACAGGACACAAUUGGGCAAGUCCUCUGCUUGGCUUCUUAGACUGAAAAGGCUUUUUAAAGUCUAAUUUCAGAUUCCUUAUUACCAGACAGUUUUAAGGAAUUCAGAUUGACUUUACAAAACCAAUAAAGCCCCUUAGAUAUUAUCAAACCUCUGACUGGAAUGGCAUACUUGAGAAUGUGUACAUAUUCACUAUUCUUGCUGCACUUACAUAUAUAAUCAGGCCAGCUUAAUGAGACAAAACUUAUUUUGCGAACAAAUUAGCCUGUGAUUAUCUUUGGUAGAAAUGGGAACUGUAGAGAGAAAAAUUGUGUUUCCAUAGAAAACUCUAAGUACGCCCAUUAUCAGAUUCUAGUCCUGUUUAUUGUCUUUGAGGCACUGUCCACCUAUAAACUGCACUGGAUCCUGAAUUCCUCUAGUUUCCUCCAAUAUCUGGUUACAACCCUCCAAACUAUUAUUUCCAAAUUCUUAAAACUGUCCUUUUCCCCAACCCCUACUGGAUGAUUUGAUGUAAACUUUAGACAAAUCGCCAUCAUGGCUCAUGUAAGGAACCUUUGUGCCUGUUUCUGUGGGGGCCACUUAGAGAAUUCACCAAAACAUCUGAUGACAUCAACCAAGACAUUCAAACUGCAAACCAGGAAAGUCCAUCGGUAGAAACUGCCAUCCUCAUUUCAGCAUCUCAAGAUGCUCCAAGAGCAAAUCUGGAAAUCUUCUUAAUGCCCUGCCUUCCAGAGGGCUCAUUUAAAUAACAAUAAGUUAGACUUAUUAAGUGCCUUGUAGAUGCCAGGGACUGUUCUAUGAACUUUGUGUAUAUUAAUUUAUUUAAUCCUCAUAACUACCAUAUGAGGUAGGCACUAUUGUUAUUCUCAUUUUAUAGAAGAAGAAACAAAGGGAUAGAUAAUAUAAACAAUUUGCCCAAAAUCACACAACUGGAAAGUGAUUGAGUCAGGAUUAAUGCCAGAAUAACCCAGAAUGAGAACAUAACCUCUAAGCUACAAUGCAAUAAUAUAUUAACAUAUCUAACUACAUUUGAAUUUUCAACUUCCAUAAAGGAAAAUAAAGUAUUUUUUAUGCUGUUGCAAGCUUUUGAGAUUAAAUGAAAAAUAGUUUUUAUUUUUUUAUUUUUUGUAGGGACAGAGUCUCACUCUCUCGCCCAGGCUGGCGUGCAGUGGCCGAUCUCAGUGAUCUCAGCUCACUGCAACCUCUGCCUCCCUGGUUCAAGCAAUUCUCCUCUGCCUCAGCCUCCCAAGUAGCUGGGACCACAGGCGCACGCCACCACACACGGCUAAUUUUUGUAUUUUUAGUAGAGACAGGGUUUCACCAUGUUGGUCAGGCUGGUCUUGAACUCCUAACCUCAGGUGAUCCACCUGCCUCAGCCUCCCAAAGUGCUGGGAUUACAAGUGUGAGCUACCAAGCCCGGCCUAAAAAAUAGCUUUUAAUCAAAAGAAAGUGGGGUGAGGGGAGAAAAUGGAGGUGAUGUCUACUUUAAGUCAAGAUGGAAUAAUGAGGGCCAAAUUCGCCCUUCCAUCUGAAACAACCACAACACCAGAGGGAAGAACAAUGGUUUUCAAGACACGGGAUGUUAGACAAUGAAAGACAGUGAUCUCUGAGGAAUGGAAUACAAAUGAGAAAAGUCCUACACAUGCCCCAGGUAACUGCCUUGAGGGAGUCUCCAGGAGCAUAGUUCAGGGGUGGGGCAGGGGGAACCAAGAAAAAGCCCAGCAAACUCGCUGAGUUGAGGAGACAGAGCUAAGUAAGAGUCUGGACUCGCUGAGUUGAAGAGACAGAGCUAAGAGUCUGGACUCACUGAGUCGAGGAGACAGAGCUAAGAGUCUGGGGAACUUGAGGCGGCCAGAGGUCACAGGGCAGAAUACAGCAGAGAUGGAUGCACACACUCCAAGAGAAACCCAGAGACCUGUGCAGGGUCCUCCUCAACUAUUCAUCAUAUGCUUGUGAGGAAAUACUUGAAGUAAGGGAAAGAACCAUCCAUAAGGACUACAGGGAUUAGUGCCUAUUCUCACAAGGAAGAUUGAAAAAGAAUCCUCAUAAUUCACACAGCAUUGAGUAGAACAGCAGUCCCCAAUCUUUCUGGCACCAGGGGCCGGGGUAGGGGGACCAGUACCAGUCCGUAGCCAGGGGGUUCAGGGCCCCUGGAGUGGAAUUCUCAGUAGUAGGGAACAAUUAGCCCCAGGCCAAGAAUGGCUCCAGACCCACCUAACAAAUCAGAAAAGUAGGACCUCAAAGGGUCCAACUAUUUCCAAGUAACUAAACUGUAUCCCAGAACAAAGUUCAAGAAUACUUACAGGAAUACAAAAAUAUCCAGCAUCUAACAAGGUAAAAUUCACAAUGUCUGGCAGCCAAUUAAAGAUUAUCAGGCAAGCAAAGAAAGAAGAAAACAUGACCCAUAAUCAGGGGAAUAAUAGACCUAGAGUUGACAUGGAUAUUAUAAUUAACAGAGAAGGACAUUAAAACAGUCAAUAUAACUCUAUUCCAAAUGUUCAAAGGUGGAGAAGAGACCUGGGCAUAAAAAAGAGCCAAAGCAAACUUUAGAGAUGAAAACUUCAUCUGAAAUGAAAACUGCACUGGAAAAAAUCAGCAGCUAAUUAAUUAGACACUGCAGAAGGAAAGAUUAAUGAACUUGAAGAUGCAGUAAUAUAAACUAUCCAAAAUAAAGAGAAAAAAAUGUUUAAAUAUAAAAUAAAUCAGUGAGUUAUGGGACAACUUCAAGCAGUCUAUAAUAUACAUGCAAUUACAGUAUCUGAAAACGGGGAGAAGCAGACAAAAAAUUUUUUUAAAU